AAAUUGAAGAGUUUGAUCAUGGCUCAGAUUGAACGCUGGCGGCAGGCCUAACACAUGCAAGUCGAACGGUAACAGGAAACAGCUUGCUGUUUCGCUG
rnacentral:rRNA from 1 species